rnacentral:rRNA from 1 species
UGCAUUAGCUAGUUGGUGAGGUAACGGCUCACCAAGGCCACGAUGCAUAGCCGACCUGAGAGGGUGAUCGGCCACACUGGGACUGAGACACGGCCCAGACUCCUACGGGAGGCAGCAGUAGGGAAUCUUCGGCAAUGGACGAAAGUCUGACCGAGCAACGCCGCGUGAGUGAAGAAGGUUUUCGGAUCGUAAAACUCUGUUGUUAGAGAAGAACAAGGAUGAGAGUAGAACGUUCAUCCCUUGACGGUAUCUAACCAGAAAGCCACGGCUAACUACGUGCCAGCAGCCGCGGUAAUACGUAGGUGGCAAGCGUUGUCCGGAUUUAUUGGGCGUAAAGCGAGCGCAGGCGGUUUCUUAAGUCUGAUGUGAAAGCCCCCGGCUCAACCGGGGAGGGUCAUUGGAAACUGGGAGACUUGAGUGCAGAAGAGGAGAGUGGAAUUCCAUGUGUAGCGGUGAAAUGCGUAGAUAUAUGGAGGAACACCAGUGGCGAAGGCGGCUCUCUGGUCUGUAACUGACGCUGAGGCUCGAAAGCGUGGGGAGCGAACAGGAUUAGAUACCCUGGUAGUCCACGCCGUAAACGAUGAGUGCUAAGUGUUGGAGGGUUUCCGCCCUUCA